AUGUUAUCUUGGCAUAUUUUGCAGAAAGGUACCAAGAGGGUGCAAUUUGUCAGGAACUUGAUUAGGGAGGUUGCUGGAUUCGCUCCCUAUGAGAAACGUAUCACUGAGCUUCUUAAGGUUGGAAAGGACAAGCGUGCACUCAAGGUCGCCAAGAGAAAGCUUGGUACUCACAAGAGAGCAAAGAAGAAGAGAGAGGAGAUGUCAAGUGUCCUUAGGAAGAUGAGGUGUGUUUUGCUUGAUUGA
rnacentral:rRNA from 1 species